GAAGUUUUUAACACCAUAGCAAAUUAUAAGUGUACAGGCAAAAGUGCAGACAGAGGCGCUUGCUGUAAGAAGGGAGAUGGUGCAGCAGGAAACAACCUCUUCGCCUGUAACAAGAGUUGACGAGACUAGAGAGGGGAAACUUGAGGAGGAGGAUAUUCAUACUCAAGUACGAAUUGAGGUCCAGGCUUAUUUUGCAGAGAGGCCCCUUGCCAAGGAGAGAAACCCUUUGAAUUGGUGGAACACCAACCAAGAGAAAUAUCCUACCUUGGCAAAACUGGCAAAAUCUUACUUGUGCAUCCCAGGCACCUCCACUCCAUCAGAGUGCCUCUUCUCUGCUGCAGGCAACAUUGCUUGUAAAAAGAGAGCCAGCCUCAGCCCUGAGCAUGUGGACAUGUUAACAUUUUUGCAUUCUAAUGCAAAGUUUCUGGAACAGUAAUAGUCCACCUCUUUUCAGAAUGUUUGGGGUUAUUUUGUUGAGGUACUUGGGAACCCAUGGUUUAGGUAUUAAAACUAGUUUGAUAAA